rnacentral:rRNA from 1 species
UGGGGAAUUUUGGACAAUGGGCGAAAGCCUGAUCCAGCAAUGCCGCGUGUGUGAAGAAGGCCUUCGGGUUGUAAAGCACUUUUGUCCGGAAAGAAAUCCUUGGCUCUAAUACAGUCGGGGGAUGACGGUACCGGAAGAAUAAGCACCGGCUAACUACGUGCCAGCAGCCGCGGUAAUACGUAGGGUGCAAGCGUUAAUCGGAAUUACUGGGCGUAAAGCGUGCGCAGGCGGUUUGCUAAGACCGAUGUGAAAUCCCCGGGCUCAACCUGGGAACUGCAUUGGUGACUGGCAGGCUAGAGUAUGGCAGAGGGGGGUUAGAAUUCCACGUGUAGCAGUGAAAUGCGUAGAGAUGUGGAGGAAUACCGAUGGCGAAGGCAGCCCCCUGGGCCAAUACUGACGCUCAUGCACGAAAGCGUGGGGAGCAAACAGGAUUAGAUACCCUGGUAGUCCACGCCCUAAACGAUGUCAACUAGUUGUUGGGGAUUCAUUCCUUAGUAACGUAGCUAACGCGUGAAGUUGACCGCCUGGGGAGUACGGUCGCAAGAUUAAAACUUAAAUGAAUUGAC